AGAUGUGGGGCUGACCAGGCGUCCGUGAGGCCAGGCCAGUGGUUCUGAGCCGAGAAGGAGCUGGAGGCCAGUCUGGGGUGUAGCACGCAGGAGAGCCACGGAGCGCCCAUCGUGAGAGCAGAGGACAGACCCGUGCCCCGAGCUCACCCCUGCCCCGCUGCCCCGUGCAAGCCGCUCCGUCCUCGCCCUCGGACAGCAUGACCACGUGGGCGUGCGGUGAGACUCCGCCCACUUUCGGGGCUCCUCGGCGGGUCUCUGCCCAUCACAGCAGAAAGGGCCCCAGGGAAAUGGGAGCGCGGUGGACGGAGGUCCCCCUGGAUGGGGCCCAGCUGAGCGCUGGCUCUUCACAAGGCCCUGGAAGGGAGGGAUUUUCAUGGAACGUGAUCACAACCUGUGCCCUGAGCCCUUGAAAGCCGCUGCCAUCAAAGAGCUAGGGUUGAGACGGUGCCCAUGGGAGCAGACGGGGAGCCUGCAGGCCCCGCUGUCGCCGAGGGGAGGCAGGGCCACCACGCUGGGGUCGCCAGGGGCUGGGAUUGGUAGCACACCACCUCUCAUGAGGGAACCCGGCACGGUCACCUCCGUCCAGGACCGAGCCGUCUUCCCGUCCUGACCUUGCUUUGUGACAACCCCCUUCAUGUUUUCGUCUGCUGUUGGGGGUUUCGAGCGUUGGAACCCAGGACUACGGACAGUGGGGGCCUUCGCAGGGAGGCGGACGCUCCGUGACCGGCGGGAGGGAAGGGAUGCCGCGGGUGUUGUGGGCUCUCCCAGAAUCCCCAGCGCCUGUUGCCGUGGGAACAGAGAACGCUCCUGGGUCCGGUGCCCACCCGUCUCACUUCUGCUCCUGUCACAGGAGUCAAGCAGUUGCACCUUCAUCAUCUCUCUGGUUUAGAGAAGAGGCGUGUGAGUCUGCAGCCGCACUCGGGACAAACUCGUGCAGACCAACAGGACACAGAAAACAGACACCCUACACGCGCCUGCCAUGCUGCAAAUGGAGGAACACGGCCGGUGUCCGCGUGCCGGUGCCCAGAGCGUGCGCCCCCCGAGGGCGCCCCUGCACCCGUGAGCACGUGGUCCCGACACCCCGCCCCCACGCUGGUGGCUCACCGCCGCAGGAUGAGGCCGUGCCGCCUGACCACUCCAGACGGGCAGCGGCGCUCCAGAUCUUUCCUGGUGAGGGGAGGGGCCCCGUUGUUCUAGGUGUGGAAAAAAGGAAAGGAAAGGGGCGCCUGGGGGCUCAGUCGGCUAAGCGUCCGACUCUUGAUUUCGGCUC